rnacentral:misc_RNA from 1 species
GAUGAAGAACGUAGCGAAAUGCGAUAAGUAAUGUGAAUUGCAGAAUUCAGUGAAUCAUCGAAUCUUUGAACGCACAUUGCGCCCGCCAGUAUUCUGGCGGGCAUGCCUGUUCGGGCGUCAUUACAACCCUCAGGCCCCCGGGCCUGGCGUUGGGGAUCGGCGGAAGCCCCCUGCGGGCACAACGCCGUCCCCCAAAUACAGUGGCGGUCCCGCCGCAGCUUCCAUUGCGUAGUAGCUAACACCUCGCAACUGGAGAGCGGCGCGGCCACGCCGUAAAACACCCAACUUCUGAAUGUUGACCUCGAAUCAGGUAGGAAUACCCGCUGAACUUAAGCAUAUCAAUAAGCGGAGGA